rnacentral:rRNA from 1 species
AGUGAACGCUGGCGGUAGGCCUAACACACGCAAGUCGAACGGCAGCACAGGAGAGCUUGCUCUCUGGGUGGCGAGUGGCGGACGGGGGAGGAAUACAUCGGAAUCUACUUUUUCGUGGGGGGUAACGUAUGGAAACUUACGCUAAUACCGCAUACGACCUACGGGUGAAAGCAGGGGAUCUUCGGACCUUGCGCGAUUGAAUUAGCCGAUGUCGGAUUAGCUAGUUGGCGGGGUAAAGGCCCACCAAGGCGACGAUCCGUAGCUGGUCUGAGAGGAUGAUCAGCCACACUGGAACUGAGACACGGUCCAGACUCCUACGGGAGGCAGCAGUGGGGAAUAUUGGACAAUGGGCGCAAGCCUGAUCCAGCCAUACCGCGUGGGUGAAGAAGGCCUUCGGGUUGUAAAGCCCUUUUGUUGGGAAAGAAAUCCAGCUGGUUAAUACCCGGUUGGGAUGACGGUACCCAAAGAAUAAGCACCGGCUAACUUCGUGCCAGCCGCCGCGGUAA